AGUGUUAACGAAAAAAAGAGCUCAGAGAACAAAUUAGCCAAACCAGAGAAAGAUAUCGAGAAGAAAAAUCAGUUGACGAGAGUAAAAAACCCUGCAAGGAGGAGGUUAAACGAGAAACGGAUACGGAAAAACAUGAUGCUGUACCUGUCACUACACCUGUCACACCAGUUCCACCUGUCGUUCCACCUGUCACUACACCUGUCACACCAGUCCCACCUGUCACGAAUGUGACAUCUGCAACGCCGAUACCGAUCAAGUCAUCAGACAUGAAUGGCGUGAUCAGCUCGGCAGUAGAAAUCAAAGAGGAGUUUGCUCCGCCAACGAGGAAACGGAGCUCGUCGAUUUCGAAUCGCAACCAACGGAGAGCAACCCCGCCAUCACUGGAUAGUGUUCUGAUGCAAACAGAAGGUCAGUCAUGGAAGAACAAAGAGCAGCCACAAAUUCAUAAUGUACCUGUUAAGCUACUGAACGAUGAGCAUUGCGUUGCCGAGACAACUUUAUUCCAAGUGAUAACGAGUCAACAUCGGCAUAUGGGAAGGAUAGAGUUGUUGAUGGCGUUACUCUAGUGGACGUUGACACUGCGUCAACGACAUGUGUUUCAAUCAAAGGUGCACGAGAGGAGGCUGAUGGUGAGGAGAUGAAUUCGUCAUCAAACUGGUUGCGGCUGCACAGCUCGGAGGCGCUCGAGUCAAACAUAACGGUCGUGACAACGACUCACCCACCUGCCAUCCUGACGCAUCCAGCAACCAGCACACCCUCUAGACAACAGCCAAACAGAGCCGCAACUCCCAAUAGUCAAGUUAUAAUUGUAUCAAACGAACUCAACAAAACACAGGUGGAUGAUGCUGCAACAGACGAUGACAUCACUGUUGUGAGCCGCUUACAAGCUGGCGAAUCGCCAGCUGAAAUGAGUCAUGUUUCUGUCAUUACAGUGGGUGAAAACACUACUCCUCAAAGAAGGAUACAGGACAACUCGUUUUGGACUUCUGGUAAGCUUUCACAGUAUGUUUCUAGACUGCGAUAUAGUCAAAGAGUCGGAUAAUUAGUAGGCAGGAUGAACAUCAGGCACGCAAAUGAAUCGUUCAUCCUCAAAACGAUUUACUUGCCAAAAAUGAAAGUACAAGAAUAACAGUGGCCCGUUUUAAAUCUCUAAAAUAUGAAUAGAUUAAUUAAUUGCUCACAGUAUUGAAGCUAAGCUGUCAAAUGGAUACAUAGAUUAAUACAGUUAGUUUAGAUCAAUACUGUAUCUACUGUAUUUGAAGAAAGUUCAAAUUUUCCAUUAAAAAAAUGGGGUAAUCGGUCCUAAAAUUAGACAUUACUCUGAAAGAAAAAAAAUGCUUGAUCCGACAAAUGUCUGGCGUUUCAGAACUCUUUGCCUCUCUGGAAUCUAA
rnacentral:lncRNA from 1 species